rnacentral:rRNA from 1 species
UACGAAGGGGGCUAGCGUUGCUCGGAAUCACUGGGCGUAAAGCGCACGUAGGCGGAUAUUUAAGUCGGUGGUGAAAUCCUGGAGCUCAACUCCAGAACUGCCUCCGAUACUGAAUGUCUUCGAGUCCGGGAGAGGUGAGUGGAACUGCGAGUGUAGAGGUGAAAUUCGUAGAUAUUCGCAAGAACACCAGUGGCGAAGGCGGCUCACUGGCCCGGUACUGACGCUGAGGUGCGAAAGCGUGGGGAGCAAACAGG